UACGUAGGCAGCGAGCGUUGUUCGGAAUUACUGGGCGUAAAGAGUGUGUAGGCGGUGCUCUAAGUUCGGUGUGAAAUCUCCCGGCUACAAUCUGGGAGGGUGCGCCCGAAUACUGAGAGGCUAGAGUGCGGGAGAGGAAAGUGGAAUUCCUGGUGUAGCGGUGAAAUGCGUAGAUAUCAGGAGGAACACCGGUGGUGUAAACGGCUUUCUGGACCGUAACUGACGCUGAGGCACGAAAGCGUGGGUAGCAAACAGG
rnacentral:rRNA from 1 species